AGUAGAUUGGUUAAUUAUCUUUGGUUAUCUAGCUGUAUGAGUAUUACUGACGUCAUAAAGCUAGGUUACCGGAGUUAAGUGCCGUCUACA